rnacentral:rRNA from 1 species
GAUGAACGCUGGCGGCGUGCUUAACACAUGCAAGUCGAACGGGAAUUACUUUAUUGAAACUUCGGUCGAUUUAAUUUAAUUCUAGUGGCGGACGGGUGAGUAACGUGUGGGUAACCUGCCGUAUACAGGGGGAUAACGGAGAGAAAUGAGUGCUAAUACCGCAUAAGCGCACAGAGCUGCAUGGCUCAGUGCGAAAAACCUCGGUGGAAUAAGAUGGAACCGCGUUGGAUUAGCUAGUUGGUGAGGUAACGGCCCACCAAGGCGACGAUCCAUAGCCGGCCUGAGAGGGUGAACGGCCACAUUGGGACUGAGACACGGCCCAGACUCCUACGGGAGGCAGCAGUGGGGAAUAUUGCACAAUGGGGGAAACCCUGAUGCAGCGACGCCGCGUGAAGGAAGAAGUAUCUCGGUAUGUAAACUUCUAUCAGCAGGGAAGAAUUAGGACGGUACCUGACUAAGAAGCCCCGGCUAACUACGUGCCAGCCGCCGCUGUAAAAC